GUAAAUGCAAUAAUUCAAGUUGAAACCAUACAUAGUUAGUGGGUUGCUUGUAAGAGUCAACUUAUAACUUAAAAACUUUUUCCACCUUUUAACGGGUACAUGGUAUAUUUUCUUGAAUUCACAAAUAAAGAUCCAUCAGGAAAAGAUGAGACUUAUCUAUCAUUAUGGUGAUGAGAGCUGUUGAUAAAUCCUUCUCGUAACUCUUUUAAUUUCACGCAAAAUCCAGUUUCUGGUAUAUUGUAGAAACAUUAGCAAUUAAGUUAGAAAGAGAAAACAUGCAUCGUAAAAAGAAUAGAGAAGAUGUGUCAAUGAGGAUGCCAAAUCCUCGAGUUACACUGCUGGCUUCUAUUGAAUCCUUGUCCAUACCACUUGAAGUCGUCUUCUUGGCGGACUACCAGUGCACCAAAUGCCAGCAGAGGGUGGCUGAAGUCAUGUCAAAGAUGAACAAUAAGUUCUUCCAUCCAUUUACUGUAAUUAAUAGAUAUAUUAACCCCCAAAACCAUAUAUGCUCUUGAAAGAAGCUUAGCUUGUACAGUUGUAGUUACAACGUCAUGGCAUGCUCAAUUAUCUCUUAACUUAGCUAUGUUAGGCUCUUUAAUCAUUGUUGUAGCUCAUCAUAUGUAUUCCAUGCCCCCUUAUUCAUAUCUAGCUACUGACUAUGGUACACAACUAUCAUUGUUCACAUAUCACAUGUGGAUUGGUGGAUUUCUCAUAGUUGGUGCUGCUGCGCAUGCUGCCAUUUUUAUGGUAAGAGAUUAUGAUCCAACUACUCGGUACAAUGAUCUAUUAGAUCGUGUCCUUAAGCAUCGUGAUGCAAUCAUAUCCCAUCUCAACUGAGCAUCUAUAUUUCUAGGCUUUUUGGGAGAAACAAAAGCUAUAUUGGUAAGUGUGGUGGAGAAGAAGGUGACUCUGACAUGUGAAUAUUCAAACGAACAAGCUUCAAUCUGUCGAAGAUUUAUUUUCCUCAUGCACUUCUUCCACUCUUCUUGCACCACAUGAUUGACACUCAAUUCUCUACUUUUUGUUA